UACAGAGGUCUCAAGCGUUGUUCGGAUUCAUUGGGCGUAAAGGGUGCGUAGGCGGCGCGGUAAGUCGGGUGUGAAAGCCCAAGGCUCAGCCUUGGAAGUGCGCUCGAAACGGCGAGGCUGGAGUGCCGGAGGGGAGAGUGGAAUUCCCGGUGUAGCGGUGAAAUGCGUAGAGAUCGGGAGGAAUACCGGUGGCGAAAGCGACUCUCUGGACGGCAACUGACGCUGAGGCACGAAAGCGUGGGGAGCAAACAGG
rnacentral:rRNA from 1 species